CUAUGGUGCUGCUCUUUCUUGGUGUGUUUUGCUUGGGGCUGGAGACACAUCUGUGUAACUGCUGCAUUUUAUAGGUUCAACAUGCACAUGGAGAUUUAUCAUGGGUUCCAAAUGCCUGAAUAAGGCUUUCCUGGAUUGAGCAUCAAGUCACUUCUGGGUCCACCUGCCACCCCUGUGCCAUCUGAUUUGCACAAUGUCCAGCCUGGUGAAGAAUACUGGAGGCCUUAAAAGUCUGCUUGCUAACUUCCGAUAUAUUGGCAAUCAAAAGAUCCCACAUCCUGAGGGAAAGAAGAAACAAAAGAUCAACUUGACUGACCGCGAUGCCACAUCUGGAGGAUUGCUUCACAAUCUAUUGCUUGUUAACAUGCCAAAGAAAAUAAUUUAAAGGCUUACCAGAAAUCCAGCGAAGUGUUUAGUCAUAAAAAUGAUUCAGUGCCACCUUUAAUAAUGCAAAUCCUGUCUCAAGCAUUCAAACCUAAAUGAUAUCUAUGCUUGCUAUCCAGUUGAGGCUUCUGAGUCUGACACAUUCAGUGGCUACAAUGCAACUGCAGAAAUGGAAGAGUUUAAAGGCUGAAGCAAGCAUACAUAAGACAGCAUUGCAAAAAGAUCAUGGUGUGCAUGAUCAGAACCAUACUGCCUGUGUUCAUACAUUCUUUCCAUUGCCUCCAGCUUUUCACUUUCUCCUCUGGCUCACCAUUAUAGGAGGCUAAAAUGAUUGACUUUCCUCCAGAACGCACAGACUUUGAACAGGAAAGAAGAAGCUGUGUUUCCCCAAUGGACUGCAAUUUUCAUUUUCCCUAGCCACCAUAAUCAAAGGCCAUAUAUAUGGGAGCUGGAGUCUAACAACAUCUGAAGUACUACAGGUUCCCAUCCCUGCUUUAGUGAGAAAGAUGUGGAUAAUUAUAAAUGUGAAAAAUAAUAAAGUGCUGACAUUUGUUGAAAUGUA